rnacentral:rRNA from 1 species
ACCCCUACGGGGGGCAGCAGUGGGGAAUCUUGCGCAAUGGGGGAAACCCUGACGCAGCAACGCCGCGUGUGUGAUGAAGGCUCUAGGGUCGUAAAGCACUGUCAAGAGGGAAGAAUUAUGACGGUACCUCUGAAGGAAGCACUGGCUAACUCCGUGCCAGCAGCCGCGGUAA